AUACUCCGUUUCCGGCAAGAAGCCAACAACAACAAACCCACUGUCUCCAUUCUCAUUUUCCGGCGAAACGCCACCACUCCAAACUCCAUUAAAAACCACUAGAAAACACCCAUCAAAACCCCAUCACUAAACCCUUGUUUUCCUUCGCCAAACCCAUCAGAAACCAAUACUAAACAACUCCAAACCACCGAAAAAUGUCAUUAAUGGCGGCACAAACCCAACCUACCAGCAGCAGCACCGGUGAGGAGUUAGGAGCUCCGAUGAACCGGAGCAAAACAACAAGCACCGCUGCCAGUCCCUUCCUCUUGCC
rnacentral:lncRNA from 1 species